UACGAAGGGGGCUAGCGUUGUUCGGAAUCACUGGGCGUAAAGCGCACGUAGGCGGAUCUUUAAGUCAGGGGUGAAAUCCCGAGGCUCAACCUCGGAACUGCCUUUGAUACUGGGGAUCUCGAGUCCGGGAGAGGUGAGUGGAACUGCGAGUGUAGAGGUGAAAUUCGUAGAUAUUCGCAAGAACACCAGUGGCGAAGGCGGCUCAUUGGCCCGGAACUGACGCUGAGGUGCGAAAGCGUGGGGAGCAAACAGG
rnacentral:rRNA from 1 species